GAUGAACGCUGGCGGCGUGCCUAAUACCUGCAAGUCGAGCUAACGUACGCGUAGCUUGCUUCUCUGUUGUUAGCGGCGUACGGGGGAGUAACACUUGGAUCACCUACCUAUCAGACUGUGAUAACUUCGGGAAACCGAUGCUAAUACCUGAUAAUAUUUUUAUCCGCAUUGUUUAACAGUGAAAGACGUUUUUCCUGUCACUUAUAGUUGUAUCCGCGCUUCAUUAGCUAGUUGGUAAGGUAACGGCUUACCAAGGCAACGAUGCAUAGCCGAGCUGAGCGGGUGAUUGCCCUCGCUGGAGGUGAGACACGGACCAGAUUCCUAAGGGAGGCAGCAGAAGGGAAUAUUCCGCAAGGGGCGAAAGCCUGACGGAGCAACGGCGCGAGAGUGAUAAAGGGCUAAGGAUCGUAAAAAGGUGUGAUUAGGGAAGAACAUAUGUGUAAGUAAGUGAACACAUCUUGACGGUACCUAAUCAGAAAGACACGGCUAACUAAGUG
rnacentral:rRNA from 1 species